ACAUUAACAUUGGUUAUUGAAAACUAAUAGUCCCCCUCUCAUAGUGUCCCAUGCGAGAGCAAACUGUGGCCUCAAACCAUUGCCUGGCCUGUGCUCGUAGACUCCUGGCACUGAAGCAGGUUGCACAGUG
rnacentral:snoRNA from 1 species